rnacentral:rRNA from 1 species
AUUGAACGCUGGCGGUAGGCUUAACACAUGCAAGUCGUGCGAGAAAGUAUCUUCGGAUAUGAGUAGAGCGGCGGACGGGUGAGUAACGCGUAGGAAUCUACCUAGUAGAAGGGGAUAGCCCGAGGAAACUCGGAUUAAUACCGUAUACCUCCUUAGGGAGAAAGAGGGCCUCUCUUGAUGCUCUCGCUAUUAGAUGGGCCUGCGUAAGAUUAGCUUGUUGGUGAGGUAAUGGCUCACCAAGGCUACGAUCUUUAGCUGGUCUGAGAGGACGAUCAGCCACAUUGGGACUGAGACACGGCCCAGACUCCUACGGGAGGCAGCAGUGGGGAAUAUUGGACAAUGGGCGCAAGCCUGAUCCAGCCAUACCGCGUGUGUGAAGAAGGCCUUCGGGUUGUAAAGCACUUUAAGCAGGGAGAAAAAGUUAUAAGUUAAUACCUUAUAAACCGUGA